rnacentral:rRNA from 1 species
AGCGAACGCUGGCGGCAGGCUUAACACAUGCAAGUCGAGCGCCCCGCAAGGGGAGCGGCAGACGGGAGAGUAACACGUGGGAACAUACCUUUUGGUUCGGAACAACUGAGUGAAACUUCAGCUAAUACCGGAUAAGCCCUUACGGGGAAAGAUUUAUCGCCGAAAGAUUGGCCCGCGUCUGAUUAGCUAGUUGGUGAGGUAACGGCUCACCAAGGCGACGAUCAGUAGCUGGUCUGAGAGGAUGAUCAGCCUCACUGGGACUGAGACACGGCCCAGACUCCUACGGGAGGCAGCAGUGGGGAAUAUUGGACAAUGGGGGCAACCCUGAUCCAGCCAUGCCGCGUGAGUGAUGAAGGCAUUAGGGUUGUAAAGCUCUUUUGCCCGGGAAGAUAAUGACGGUACCGGGAGAAUAAGCCCCGGCUAACUUCGUG